GCUGUAUAAUUUGUUUGAUGAAAGGAUUGAAAACUACGAUGUUUACAAGGUUGAGACGGUGGGUGAUGCAUAUCUGGUAGCUAGUGGGGUUCCAAUCCCUAAUGGUGACCAUCAUGCUGCUGAAAUUGCCNCAAACUGUCCCUUGAUAUUCUAGCUAAAGUUGUAACAUUCGAGAUUCCGCAUAAGCCAGGAUAUAG